CCUUCGGAGUGCCAAACAAGUCGGAGUAGGUAGCAAUAAGCCCAAACGAGGCACGUUGAACAAGGAA
rnacentral:ncRNA from 1 species